AUGCCACCACCCACUCCAGAUCGAGAGGAGCUCGAUCUCGACCUCGCUCCCGACCAGUGCCUCCCCUCGCGUUCGGCCCAUGUCAGAGCUCGUCGUCGCCGGCCACCCAAACAACAACUGCAGCCCCGCCGCCGGCUGACCGAACCAGCACCCGCGCCAAGCCUCCUGCCCCAGGGACGCGCUUCCUCCCGAGCUCAUCCUUCUGUGGAUCCCCUCGAUCCCCUGCCUUGCCGCGUCUGCCUCCUCACCUCGGCCCCGAGCGCCACCCCCGUCGACGGCCUCGCCGGAGCAGCGCCGCCGAAUCAGGCCAGCUCCUCGCGCCCUGCUUCCCUUCCAUCUCCUGAUGUUCGUCUUCCCCUGCUCUUUUUCAUAUAUCUCUCUCUGUUUAUGAGCACAGGAGGUGUGGAGCAUCGCGCCGUCGUCCUCGGUCGUUGCCGCCCGCCGUUGUUCUUCACCGGAUCCGGCAUCCCCGGCCCCUGA
rnacentral:rRNA from 1 species